ensembl:lncRNA
UAUGAACCAAUUUGUGUAACCUAAAUACAAAACGUUCAAGUCAUUAAUAAAUAACCUAAAAUUGAGCCAAAAUAAAUCAGUGCAGUUGAUUCAGUGACGGUGACAAAACCACUACUCAGCGGUGUCUAACACACCGACCGUAAGCAUAUUUGACACGCUGUACAUCUUUUCAAAAUGUUUCACCUUGAAGGGCAGCAAACCGUGAAAUGUGGGUCUUUGUCCCAUAGAUCAGUCUGUCUGUCUCUGUCUCUCUCUGGCUGGUGCGUUUAAACAGUGUCAGCCUGACGGAGGCUUUGGUGUUAACACUCCACUGUCUGCACAGCACACAUCCACUCAACUCCCACCCACAUACCUGAAGUCACAGUUUCUCUCUUUGUCAGCCCCACAUCCACUGUGUGUGUGUGUGUGUGUGUGAUUCCUGUGUGGGAGGACCGUCUUCAAACACCUCUACACUAUUGUGUUGUCGGCUCCAUCUAUCUUCUCCUUGUUUCCACUGUGCCCUUUAAUAGAGAGGAAGAGGAGACACGACAAGAGGCUAGUCGAGACCUUUAUCAACAGAGGGAUUUUCUGCUGCUGGUGUUCACUAACUAGAACGGUGUUCCCUGCUGCGCGACAGCUGCUGUAUCCCAUUCGUAGUACAAGCGGCUCAUUAUUUAUGCUUUCAAAGUCAGAGGUGCGAGGUGGAUCCAGCUCAGUCCGUUGGUAGGGACGUUAUGAGUAAGUUAGUAUCCAUGGAGGAUGUAGAUAGAAGCGUUAAAGGAAAACCUGCACUAAGUCCCCCACCCCCCUUUAUUUUACCACGCAUGUAGAGGUGUGCAUGUAAGUAGCUGUCAUCAUUAUGCAUUUAAGUGCAAUUUAACAUAACGUCAAUAUACACAGGGGCUGCAGUUAGAUUUGGGCAACAACACCACUGACAGGUUGAGGGAGAUCACAAACAUCACUAACAUCACUGAUGUAAAUCAAAACCCCGAUGUUUUGUUGUGUUUUUGUUUAAAUUAGCAACUGCAAUCUGAAAAAAAAGAAGAAACGUUGCUUGAGAAUGCUGUUUAGUUGGAUUCCAACUUAAUCUACUACCCA